rnacentral:rRNA from 1 species
UACGAAGGGUGCAAGCGUUAAUCGGAAUUACUGGGCGUAAAGGGUGCGUAGGCGGUUCGUUAAGUCUGUCGUGAAAUCCCCGGGCUCAACCUGGGAAUGGCGAUGGAUACUGGCGAGCUAGAGUGUGUCAGAGGAUGAUGGAAUUCCAGGUGUAGCGGUGAAAUGCGUAGAUAUCUGGAGGAACACCGGUGGCGAAGGCGACGUCCUGGACCGGCAUUGACGCUGAGGCGCGAAAGCCAGGGGAGCAAACGGG